ensembl:lncRNA
GUUGUUUAAUUAAAUUCCACUUUUUGCAAUUUAAUAACCACACUAGGCUAUAGUGCCAUUUUGAUUUUUUUUUUUUUCCCCGAUUCUUUUCUGUAGCCCUACUAGAAAACUUGCUGUAAGACAGAAUCAUUUACUCAAGAGUACAACCUUUUGUGUCUAAACCUCUUCAGCAGUAGCUGAGUUAAUUUAAAGUCAAAGACCAGUUGUACUUAACCUUUAAGCACGUAAAUGAAACUGUUUGGGGGUUGAUGCUCAGUUUAGAUGAAGAGAACAGGAAGCCAGAGAUAAGUCCUGGCAGGCGUUCACAUUGACCUUGUUUGAGCAGGCGGCUGUAAUUAAGACGCUAGCUGGAAACCUGACUCCAGUGUGACGCAGCCUGAGGCUGGCUGCAGAAGUGGAGGUCGGAAAAAGAAAUGCGAUUCUCGUCGGCUCAGUGGCUGCACUCGAUAGUGCUGCCAAGGCCGAGGUUAGCCCACUAAUUCGUCCAAAUGAGCGCCCUUAUUCAUGGUAUCUUUAUACAUGCAGACACACUCACAUAAACACACAUACCAAUGUUCCCGCAGACCAGAGAGAAGUGGAGAGUUAUGAGGGCUUUGGUUUUCCUGGGACAGAGGAGAGCUGAGUAUGAUGUCGGCCAUUGAUCUGUUGUGAGUUCCUGUGGCGGAAUAUUAAAGAGUGUAUUGGAAAACCAGAUGCUACGUGGCCUUACAUAACGAUCCCUUCCAUGAACAAGAAGCCAUUUGUCAAGAUCCCAUUUAAUGCAGCUCAGAAGCAGCUCAUAUGUCGGGAGAAAAUGACGACUGCUAUGUUCAUUAUUACAUCCAACAACAAAACACCUCAGUUGCUUAAUUUGGGACAUUCUUUUCUUCCCCUGCACCGGAGUCGACACAAUGGUGGACAGCUCAUAGCUCACUCAGGGCGGGUCUAAGCACUGCAGUCAGAUCAGGACCGCCAUCACUGCAACUCUUUGUCCC